rnacentral:rRNA from 1 species
UACAGAGGUCUCAAGCGUUGUUCGGAUUCAUUGGGCGUAAAGGGUGCGUAGGCGGCGCGGAAAGUAGGGUGUGAAAUCCCUCGGCUCAACCGAGGAACUGCGCUCUAAACUACCGUGCUCGAGGGAGAUAGAGGUAAGCGGAACUUAGGGUGGAGCGGUGAAAUGCGUUGAUAUCCUAAGGAACACCGGUGGCGAAAGCGGCUUACUGGAUCUCUUCUGACGCUGAGGCACGAAAGCUAGGGUAGCGAACGGG